rnacentral:rRNA from 1 species
UACGUAGGGGGCUAGCGUUGUCCGGAAUCAUUGGGCGUAAAGAGCGUGUAGGCGGUCCGGUAAGUCCGCUGUGAAAGUCGGGGGCUCAACCCUCGAAUGCCGGUGGAUACUGUCGGGCUAGAGUGCGGAAGAGGCGAGUGGAAUUCCUGGUGUAGCGGUGAAAUGCGCAGACAUCAGGAGGAACACCUAUUGCGAAGGCAGCUCGCUGGGACGUAACUGACGCUGAGACGCGAAAGCGUGGGGAGCAAACAGG